rnacentral:rRNA from 1 species
ACACGUAGGGGGCAAGCGUUGUUCGGAAUUAUUGGGCGUAAAGGGCAUGUAGGCGGUUUCGUAAGCCUGGUGUGAAAUCCUGCAGCUUAACUGCAGAAUUGCAUUGGGUACUGCGAGACUUGAAUCACAGAGGGGAAACUAGAAUUCCAGGUGUAGGGGUGGAAUCUGUAGAUAUCUGGAAGAAUACCGGUGGCGAAGGCGGGUUUCUAGCUGAUGAUUGACGCUGAGGUGCGAAAGUGCGGGGAGCAAACAGGAUUAGAUACCCUGGUAGUCCGCACCGUAAACUAUGUACACUAGGUGUAGGGGCAUGAGUCUCUGUGCCGAAGCUAACGUGAUAAGUGUACCGCCUGGGAAGUAUGCCCGCAAGGGUGAA